UGCUUUCAAUUGGCAGUGGGCACAGAAGGGCGGGGGAGCUGUUGGAAAGAGAAUUCGUUCCAAGUUGAUGGGGGAUGACUGUGGCUGCUAGGCGACUUGUAUUUUAUCAGAAAUCGGGGAUGAACUGUCUACACGGAGGAGAUCGCGUCCAUUCCCCAUCCCUCUCUUUAAAGUACUGCGCUGGGUGGCUCCUCGAGUCCCAGCUGGGGGCUCAGUACCAUCCCUACCCUGCCUCUCUCCUCUCUCCUUCUCCCGACCCUGGGGUGGCACCGAGCCCCUCAGCGGAAGCCCCGCUGGCUCAGUACCUGCAGGCCCUGCGCCUGGGAUCGCCCCUCCUCUCCCUAAAUACCAUAUAGGGCUUGCCCAUUCGUUCGUUCCAUGUGCUCGGAAUGCAGCAGGGCCCGGCCCAACGUGGGUGCUUGGUUAAUGGCUGUGGGACCAACGCUUACCCCCGGGAACCGGGUGCUGGCGAUGGCAGCAGCCGCCGGUCCACAGGGCACAUUUUGGAUUUUGACCUUCCAGCUGCUUUAACCCAGGCGGGCCCCGCCGUUCCGCGGCCAGCGCAGACUGCACCGCCCUUCGCUCACCGGGGAGGGGGAGGCUACAGGGCGCUUUUGGAUGAGCUGGCCCCAGCACCCGCCCCCUUUCCGCCCGGGUUCGGUCCAGGGGGCCUCAAGAUGUCAUCAAGUUGAGAUGAGGUCAUUCUGGAUGAGAGUGGGCCCUAAAUCCAGUGACUGGUGUCCUUACAAGAAGAGGGAAAUGUGGACCCAGACACAUGACCCACACAGGGAAAGCGCCAUGUGAGGACGGAGGUGGAGAUUGGAGUGAUGGCUCUACAAGCAAGGAUGCAAAAGGUUGCCAACAGCCACCAGGAGCCGGGAGGGAGGCAUGGGGCAGUAAAGGUGAUUCUGCAAGCGGAAAUCCUGCAAAGCAAUCUUGACAAUUGUAGGGUAUUGUGAAUCCACUAGAAACCACCGAAUUUUGGUGAAUUGAUGUUAUGUGAAUUUUAUCUCAAUAAAAACUGCUUUUAUUUUA